GACAAGAGACAACACACACACUGAAGAGAGAAGGAGGGCAGAAAGCAAGAACAUCCAACCGAGUGAACUAGUGAGAGUUUGCAAAGAUUAAUUUGUAAACAUUGAUUUGUAACCGUUUCAAGUAUUAAUGCAUUAGUGUUAAUCGUUGAGUCUCGGUCUCCUUCUCGUGUUCUUGUCGUGUUCUAACUCGGUUUGCAUCUCCGGUUGGAUUCCGCACAACCGGGUGUGUUCGUACACAAGGAUUAGGCGACUAGAUCCUCCCCUAGCCGGACCUACAAGUGGUAUCAGAGCCUUGGCUCUUCUCCUUGUUAAAACCGAGUAGUUUUCGGGUGUGUUUCAGAUUUUUGAAGUUCAUAUUUUUUUUUUUUGAAAAUUAGUCUUAAACUUCUGGUGUGUUUGUUGUUAGUUCAUAGAAAACCUUGUUUAAAACUCUUUUUAGCAUGUUGUGUUAAGGUUUUUAGUGAAGUUUCCUGCAAAAAUUCUUGUUCGGAAAUUUACGGUUCACCGGAAAACUCAAAAGUUUACCGGAAAACUCAUAUUUCUGGGUUGUGUUCUUCAUAUAUUCAAGAAACAUUCAUAGUGUUUUUGAAUAUUCAUUGAUUUUAAAAUUAAAAAUUAACCUUUUUAUCUUUGAAAUUUGAAUAUUCAGUGUUUGUGUCUUGGAAAGUGGUUAAGGAUUAAAAUAGUACAAUGACAUCAUUUGGUUGGUGGAUAGAAAGUCAACAUAUUCAAUCAUACAAGAAAGUCUGGUCGCACAAGAUAUUAAUCGCACAACAGUUUUUGUUCGCACAAGAUUGAUUGGCUCGCACAAGAACUGGGCUAGCAACAAGAUUUGGGCUUCUGUUGGACUUCUGUUUGGCUCCAGUCACACAAGAUUCAUUAUUUGCACAAUAUUUGUAACCGCACAAGAUAGUGGGCUUACACAAGAACCGGGUUUCCAUUUGGACUUCUGAUUAUGUCGGACCUUUAAGUGGGCUUCUAUUUGGGCAUCAUUUAAAUUAUAUUUGGGAUUUUUAUUAGUCGCACAAGAUUUGUAUCGGUCGCACAAGCCUUUCUCACUCGCACAAGAUCUAAUAGUCGCACAAGAAAACAGUUCAACAUCUGCUUCGACUUCUAAGUUGUUCCGUCGACUUCAAGGAUCUUUGUUUCGUGGGAUUUUGUUUUGUCAAGAUACUUUUAAUAAAAAAAAAAAUAAAAUAUUUUUUUUAAGUGGU
rnacentral:lncRNA from 1 species